AACGCUGGCGGCGUGCCUAAUACAUGCAAGUCGAACGGCUUUCAUGGAAGCUUGCUUCCACUGAGAAGAUAGUGGCGAACGGGUGAGUAACACGUGGGGUAACCUGCCCAUAAGAGGGGGGAUAACAUCCGGAAACGGGUGCUAAUACCGCAUAGUUUUCUUGAUCGCAUGAUCGGGAAAGGAAAGACGGCCUUUGUGCUGUCGCUUAUGGAUGGACCCGCGGCGUAUUAGUUAGUUGGUGAGGUAACGGCUCACCAAGACGAUGAUACGUAGCCGACCUGAGAGGGUGAUCGGCCACAUUGGGACUGAGACACGGCCCAAACUCCUACGGGAGGCAGCAGUAGGGAAUCUUCCGCAAUGGACGAAAGUCUGACGGAGCAACGCCGCGUGAGUGAAAGAAGGUUUUCGGAUCGUAAAACUCUGUUGUCAGAGAAGAACAAGUUGGAGAGUAACUGCUCCAGCCUUGACGGUAUCUGACCAGAAAGCCACGGCUAACUACGUGCCAGCCGCCGC
rnacentral:rRNA from 1 species